rnacentral:tRNA from 1 species
GAAGGUAUAGCUCAGUGGUAGAGUAUAUGCCUAGCAUGCACAAGGUCCUGGAUUAAAUCCCCAGUACCUCUA